GGAGGGAAGAGCUGAGUGGUAAAGCGUGUGCGUAGCAUACACAAGGACCUGGGUUCGAUCCCCAGCACCUCCA
rnacentral:tRNA from 1 species